rnacentral:rRNA from 1 species
CAGUCGAACGAGGAAUUUCAAAUGAGACUUCGGUGGAUUUUGAAAUUCUUAGUCGCGGACGGGUGAGUAACGCGUGGGCAACCUGCCCUGUACAGGGGGACAACAGCUGGAAACGGCUGCUAAUACCGCAUAAGCGCACAGCAUCGCAUGAUGCUGUGUGAAAAACUCCGGUGGUACAGGAUGGGCCCGCGUUGGAUUAGGUAGUUGGUGGGGUAACGGCCUACCAAGCCGACGAUCCAUAGCCGACCUGAGAGGGUGACCGGCCACAUUGGGACUGAGACACGGCCCAAACUCCUACGGGAGGCAGCAGUGGGGAAUAUUGCACAAUGGGGGAAACCCUGAUGCAGCGACGCCGCGUGAGCGAAGAAGUAUUUCGGUAUGUAAAGCUCUAUCAGCAGGGAAGAAAAUGACGGUACCUGACUAAGAAGCCCCGGCUAACUACGUGCCAGCAGCCGCGGUAAUACGUAGGGGGCAAGCGUUAUCCGGAUUUACUGGGUGUAAAGGGAGCGUAGACGGCUUUGCAAGUCUGAUGUGAAAGGCGGGGGCUCAACCCCUGGACUGCAUUGGAAACUGUGAGGCUUGAGUGCCGGAGAGGUAAGCGGAAUUCCUAGUGUAGCGGUGAAAUGCGUAGAUAUUAGGAGGAACACCAGUGGCGAAGGCGGCUUACUGGACGGUAACUGACGUUGAGGCUCGAAAGCGUGGGGAGCAAACAGGAUUAGAUACCCUGGUAGUCCACGCGGUAAACGAUGAAUACUAGGUGUUGGGUGUCAC